CCUACGGGAGGCAGCAGUAGGGAAUAUUCGGCAAUGGGCGCAAGCCUGACCGAGCAAUGCCGCGUGAGGGAAGAAGGCUUUCGGGUCGUAAACCUCUUUGAUAGGGGAAGAGCAGAAGACGGUACCCUGAAAACAAGCCACGGCUAACUACGUGCCAGCAGCCGCGGUAAUACGGAGGUGGCAAGCGUUGUCCGGAUUUACUGGGCGGAAAGGGCGUGUAGCCGGGAAGGCAAGUCAGAUGUGAAAUCUGGAGGCUCAACCUCCAAAUUGCAUUGGAAACUGUUUUUCUUGAGUGCUGGAGGGGCGGACGGAAUUCCAUGUGUAGCGGUGAAAUGCGUAGAUAUAAGGAGGAACACCAGUGGCGAAGGCGGUCCGCUGGACAGCAACUGACGGUGAGGCGCGAAAGCGUGGGGAGCAAACAGGAUUAGAUACCCGAGUAGUC
rnacentral:rRNA from 1 species